GGGGAAUAUUGGACAAUGGGCGAAAGCCUGAUCCAGCAACGCCGCGUGAGGGAUGACGGCCUUCGGGUUGUAAACCUCUUUCAGCGGGGACGAAGCGCAAGUGACGGUACCCGCAGAAGAAGCACCGGCCCACUACGUGCCAGCAGCCGCGGUAAUACGUAGGGUGCGAGCGUUGUCCGGAAUUAUUGGGCGUAAAGCGCUCGCAGGUGGCCCGAUGCGUCGUGCGUGAAAGACCCCGGCUCAACUGGGGGGCGUCGUGCGAUACGGUCGGGCUGGAGGCCAGUAGGGGGAUGCGGAAUUCCGGGUGUAGUGGUGGAAUGCGUAGAGAUCCGGAGGAACACCAGCGGCGAAGGCGGCAUCCUGGACUGGUCCUGACACUCAGGAGCGAAAGCGUGGGGAGCGAUC
rnacentral:rRNA from 1 species